GGGCCUGUAGUGUAGCUUGGAUAUCACUGGGGCUUCCGAAGCCUCAAACUGGGGUUCGAAUCCCCACAGGCCCG
rnacentral:tRNA from 1 species